GUGUUAUCCAGAGCCUAGAAACACAAA
rnacentral:piRNA from 1 species